rnacentral:misc_RNA from 1 species
GCAGCAGGCAACGGUGUUCGAAGAACUUCUACAAAGGUGUCCCACUCUUCCGGUGCCACUAUCCCUUGCUCCUUGUAGUAUUCAUCGAAGGCCUGGUUUUGAGUGGCGAAGGGCUGCCAAGUAGGAUUAUCGGUGCUAGUGUUGUUGGGAUCAGAGGAAGAGUGAGAUUUGGCGCGUUUCCAAACGUUCUCUCGGCCAUCGCGGAAAUGCUUUCUUUGAGUUCGGGACCUGUUUCCUCUUCCUCUGCCGCCGCCCAUUUCGCUUCUCUUCUUGGAUGCUCUUUGGACUAUGGUUGUGUAGUUCCUCGCCGCUGCUCUGUGCUAGUCCUUUUCGUGACGCCAACCCAAAGCUGCGAUGGAGUCGG